AUGGGAGUCAUCAAAAUGCUAAGCCUAUUAUGCCUGCUACUGCUAAUGCCACUUCUUUUAGUUCCUAGUAAGAGCUUGGAAGCCAAGACUUGCGUUGUACAUAGCAGGACCUAUCAGACUAUAUUAUGCAAGGUGGAUCCAUGUGUUGAGGCCUGCCACAAGGAGGGAUUUACUUAUGGGUUCUGCUCCCCCUACCCCCUUAUAAUAGUUUGUUUCUGCGUAAAAAAAUGUUGA
rnacentral:rRNA from 1 species